rnacentral:lncRNA from 1 species
UGAUGCCUCGAGCCUUCAUCACGAACUCCUUCAUAUACAAGAUACUUCGGGGCAUUACCCAGAUAAAUCAAUACAAAUCCUUCGAGGCAUUCCCCGGCCAAACGAAUACAUUUUUAGUGCGAGUAAAUCAAACUAUUCAACGAAAUUUCAAACAUUCCACGGGAUUUCCAACAUUCAACCAAACAAACCUUAGUCCUAAAAUUGCCUACCCGAACCUACAUUGGCCUGCCCAUUUAAACGUAUCAUAAUAAUAUCACGUUUCAUAUCAACAAUCAAUCAAACGGGUUAAACUAAAACUAAACAACGUUCAACUUUAUCAAUUUUUAAUUCCCACAUCUAUUUCAUGUUUAAUACAAUCUCAAACUCAUAUUGUCAUCACAUUUAUCAUCGAGAGCAAUUAUUCAAAAGCAAACAACAUCAAACGUCACCCAAAUCACCCAAACAAAUAGAAUAAAGAUAUCGAAUCACAUCCACAAUCACCAAAAUUAAAAUAAAGGGAGAGAUGAAAAUUAGACCUCAAUUGACGAUUUUAUUUCGAUCAAAUUGGAUUAGCUGAUUCGAGCGCCGCCAGACCUCAAACCGAACCCAAACUCGAUUCCGAACUCGGUUUAAUCACCAAACUAGUCCAAGAAUCUCGAAAUAAAGACAACCCGCAACUGAUUCUGCCUAAACCGAAUUCGAAUCGAAACUUCACUAGACUAGCUUCGUUUUUUGUAGACGCUGUGACUAUAUUGCUGACUUCCAAAGGUUUUGGACUAUUUUUGGUCAAGUGUAGGUGACGGUGAGUUUUCUCGGUGAGGUUCGAACAAAAUUAAUGGAGGAGAAGGCGAUAUUUCGAUUGGGUUUGGCCGAAGAUGGUCGUUUCUUGUGAUUUACCGACGAGUUCGGUAGUGGGGUAGGUCAUUUUCGGCAAGAGAUGGCAGAUUCUGGUGACCAGUUCACCGAAAAACUCAUACCAGUCGGCAGGGAUGCCUCCGUUCUAUGUUUUCGCUCUUCUCACUCGAUUCCUCUCUCUCUUUCGCACUGUAUUCCUCUCUUCCCUCUCUCAAUCGAUCUCUCUCUCGUCUCCCUUUCACUUUCAACCUCCUCUCUAUUGGUGUGUAUGGACCAAGAAAAAGAGGAAGGAAGAAAUGACGUCACUCUUUUCUUCUUCGUAGUUUCUCUGUAUGUGUAUUAUCUGAGGCGUGAAUUACCCAUGGAAUGGAAUUGUUCUCUUCGUAGAGUAGGUGUGGUGAGUAUGUUUUUGUAUGUGGAAUUGUGUAGAAGAAGAUGAAUUCCCUCAAGAAAAAUGGUGUGUCUAUGGUAUAUACCAUGGAGAAGAAAGUAAAAAAAAUGGAAUUCUGCUCUCUGAUGUGUGCUCCACUUUUUUUUGGGUCCCACCUGGGAAAUAUAUUCUAUGUUUUUUGUUCCUAUAAAAUCCAAAAGAGAGCUGAAUGGAAUCAACUUUGUACAACUGUCCAUUUUUCUUUUCCUUUGUGGUCAAGAAACGAGGGGGGAGGUCACGUGAGUGAGUGGGGGUGAGGGGGUAGGGUAGGUGAUGGGGUAGUUGUGAGGGUGAUGUAUCCGUUUUUAAUUGAAGAGAUGGUUAGGAUAGGAUUAAAACAAGGUAAAAUUUGUUAGUGAUUUUGUUAAUUUUUGUAUUUUUAUGAAGGGAUUAUUACACGGGGUAGGACACAUAGUAAGACGAGGGUAAAAAUGAAUAAUUUGAGUUUUCGGGAGGGACAAAAUUAGGUGUCUACAUCAUGCCCCCUUUGAAUGUAAACCCGAAGUGUUUUCAGACAAAAAAGUAGACAACGAGAUCAAAUUUUGACCCGACCAUUAUUUCAGGAAAGAAACAAAAGAAAGAAGAGCAACCGGGUCUUGACUUAGGACAUCCUACCUAUCCAAGUUAUAAAGGAAUCAAUUGACACGUAUUUCAAAGGAUUUAAAAGAAAAGGACAAUACCGAGUUGGAGAGUCGAGUGAGGUUCCAUCGAGGUUUCGAUCCACGGCUAUGUCAUUACAUCAAAAUGAAAAUUACGAGUUAAAACGUAAAUGAAAUUACAAAAUCCUAUCUAUACAGUUUUUGUUGGACUCCUGACUUAAGUUUCAUCACCCUAUUCUUCAAUCGGGCUCCUGACUUGCAAUUUCAUCACUUGUUGCCUGGUUUUCAAUUGCUUUACCUUGUUGCUUAACUUUCUAUUUAUUCGCCCUGUGCUUCGGGCGGGCUCCUGACUUACCAUUUCAUCACCCUGUUCUUCAUGCGAGCUCCUGACUUGCAAUUUCCUCACCCUAUUCUUCAGGUGGGCUCCUGACUUGCAAUUUCAUCACCCUGUUCUUUAGGCGGACUCCUGACUUGUAAUUUCCUCAACUUGUUGUUUGGCUUUCAAUUGUUUCACCUUAUUACUUAACUUUCAAUUUCUUUACCCUAUUCUUUAAGCGGGCUCCUGACUUGCUGUUUUUCAAUCUGUUAACUUUCAACUUUUCACUUUGUUGCUUGACUUUCAACUUCUUCACUUUGUUGCUUGAGUUUUCAUUUCUUUACCCUGUUCUCCAGGCGGGCUCCUGAAAUCACAUUAAAACAAAAAAGAAAAUUAUCCCGAACAAAGAUUAUUAUAAAGAGGUUUCAUUUGUCAGAAAAGUGAAGUUCUAACACAAAAAUUAAAUUUUUCCCCAAUUUAUCAUCAAAGGACUUUUGUGAAAGUCACAUCAUUAUAGGAAUCAAGAAUAAUGACUCGACUAAAAGGUAAGCCUUAUAGGAAUCAAGAGGGAUGACUCGACUAAAAGGUACGUCUUAUAGGAAUCAAGGGGGAUGACUCGACUAAAAGGUACGUCUUAUAGGAAUUCAGGGAAAUGACUCGACUAAAAGGUAUGCCUUAUAGGAAUCAAGAGGGCUGACUCGACUAAAAGGUACGUCUUCUAGGGGUCAAGGGGAAUUAUUCGACUAAAAGGUACGUCUUAUAGGAAUCAAGGGGGAUGACUCGACUAAAAGGUACGUCUUAUAGGAAUCAAAGAGAAAUGACUCGAUUAAAAGGUACUGUAACACCCACUUAAUUACGUCCAUUAGCCAUUGUUAUAUGCGUUGGAGUAUAUGUAUUGAUCCUAAGUUAGGUAUAUAUGAGUUUAAGUAUGAGUAUUGAUUAUUUUGAGAUGGUUUCAAGUGUAUAGUUUGAUUAUAUGUGUAUAGGAAUCGACUUUAUUUAUAUCGGAAUUUUCCCGUCGAUGGUUCCAUACGAAGGUUAUUGAAUAAGCUUUCCAACGAUAUAAAGAUUUCCAAAAACGGAUAAGUUUCGGAUAUAAGCGAGCUCGUUCGAAACUUUAAAACGGUGGCCGGGAUGUGAACAGUAAAAUGUGCAGGAAACUACUGAGGCCUGCCAGUUUUUUGGGUCAACUUUGAACGAUCAUAACUCCCUCAAUAUAAUGAACUGGUUGAGCUACCAUAUAUCAAAAGAAAGAUCUUUGAGUCUUCUUUCCAAUGAAAUUGGUUUCAUCCAAAUCCAACAUCAAAGAAAUAUCUUUGAGUCUUCUUUCCAAUGCAAUUGGUUUCAUCCAAAUCCAACAUCUAACUAAGGAGUUAUACUUGUUUUACUUCAGCCUCUCAAAACAGUUUUUUAGGAUCAACUUCAAACGAUAAUAACUCCUUGUACAGGAAUAAAUGGGUGGUCUACUUUAUAUGAAAUGAAAUCCCUUUGAAUUAUCUUUCCAACGAUACAAAUUACACCCAAAUCCGAUAUCGGAGCAAAGAGUUAUGGCCGAUUUACUUUAGCCUAUCAAAACAGUCCACCAUGGACAGAUUCGGAUUUACUUAAAUUUUUAAGGGCAAUAUGGUCAUUUUCCAUCACCUCAUGGACGAAAAUUGGUCAUUAUAUACAUAUACUUAGCCUUAUAUCCACCAUUUAUCAUCCAAAUCAUUGAAGAAUAAGAAACCCUAGCCUAAGUUCAACUCCAAUUAUCUUGUGAUUCAACCGUAGAAAAUCCAAAUUGAUUCCGUAGUUGUGUUCACCGUCUCAAGGGCUUCGAGAAGCACCCCUUAUUUGUGCCAACAGGACUUCGAAAUCAAAAGGGCCAUUUUUUUUGGUAAGGAUGUAAAUUAUGUUGGUGUUAUUUAUAUGGAUAUGUAUAUAUAUAUAUAUAUGCAUGUGAGCAUAAGAAGUAUGUUAUUUGAUUGUUGUUGAAAGAUGAUUGGAAAUGAUGUUGGAUUAUUCUUGUGCAUGGUUGGAUUAUGUUAAAUUGUGAAGGAAUUUGGGGUGAUGAUGUGGUAUUGAUGAUGUGGUAUUGAGAUGAUGAUUAUAUACAUAUACACACAUAAACCUAUUGUUCAAGUUGGUUUUUGGAAUGUUUUGCAAAUAUUGGUAGUAUGGAAUUAUGGAAGAGAAUUGUGGUGUUGGGUUGCUAAUACUAGAUGCCAAACAUUUCAUUGUAGAUAAGUGAUUUGUAAAGGCGGGAAGUUGUGUUGAAUUGGUAUCUGAAUCUACAACGAGGUAUGUAAAGCAUACUCUAACAAUGUUCUUUGGCAUGAAAACACCAAUGUUCCAUCAAGUAAGAUUCCGAGGUUGUCCAAAAACAUGUAUUGUUCUACGUUACCAACGAAGUUGUUUCCAUCCUAUAAAGUGUCAAAAUGUUCAUUGAUAUACCAAAAGGCUCUUAUUUCAUUGUUGUGAUAUUGAUGAUUCUGAAACAUAUUGUUGAUGUACCAAUGAGUCCUUAUUACAUCGUUAUUGUAUAGAAGGUCUAUUACUUGGUUCCUAUUGAUGUAUCAUUGUUUCAAGGUAUCAAAAAUGUGGUGACGACCGAAAUAACAAUCUCAAAGAUUAAUUGAACUAAGUGAUGAAAGUUCUCUCUUAUCGGGUGGUAUCCCAGGGGCAUAAGCCUAGCAUGGGUCGAUCCCUAUUUCAUGUGUUUAUGGGUGGUAUCCCAGGGGCAUAAGCCUAGCAUGGGUCGAUCCCAGUUGAUAUGUACUGGAGGCAUCCUAAUGGUCACAGUACAGUACAGUAAUGAUUACAAAGACGAUAAGAACGAAGGUAAAGUGAUUGAAUAAAUACAAUGUACAGGUUGUUACAAGUUCUAGUAAGUGUGGUCCACUCCUGUUACGACUUCUUCACUUGUUUCUGAUUUCUAUUGAGCUCCUAUAUCAUAUGUGAUUAUUUACAGCUUUACAUACUCAGUACAUAUUUCGUACUGACGUCCCUCACGGGGGACCUGCAUUUCAUGCUGCAGGCACAGGUACCUCAACUCAUACACCGCACAAGUAGGAGCCAGGUCAUACAGCUAUUGUUGGUGAGCUCCAGUUUGCUUCGGAGCUUUCCGAGUCGGUUCCUUAUGUUUUGUUAUUGUACAUGAGUCACGUGUGGGCGGGGGUUUGUCCCGACCCUAGUUAUGUCAUGUAUAUCCUAGAGGCUUUGUAGACAUAAGGAAGGGUAAAGUCAUGGAAGUUUAUAUAGUAACGUUAUAUUUGUAUAUGUGGUGGCCCCGACGGCCAAGUAUUAUAUAUAUUUAUAUUUGUGCAUGUUGUGUUGAUACAGGUAAUUAGACCCUUCUAUAUGCAACGAAGUGCUGUCCAAAUUUUUGGUGACAUAUAAGUGAAAGUACAGGUAUUUGAACGGGUUCUCCCGGGCUUUCUCGGCUUCGGGUGCCAGUCCGGCCCGAUAGGAUUUUGGGGCGUGACAGGUACGUAUGAUAGGAAUCAAAGGGAGAUGACUCGAUUAAAAGGUACAUCUUAUAGAAAUUCAGGGAAAUAACUUGACUAAAAGAUAUGCCUUAUAGGAAUCAAGGGGGAUGACUCGACUAAAAGGUACGCCUUAUAGGAAUCUAGGGGGUAACUUGACUAAAAGAUACGUCUUAUAGGAAUCAAGGGGGAUGACUCGACUAAAAGGUACGCCUUAUAGGAAUCAAGGGGGAUGACUCGACUAAAAGUUACGUCUUAUAGGAAUCAAGGAGGAUGACUCGACUAAAAAGUACGUCUUCCAAGAUUUAAAGGGAAUGACUCAACUAAAAGGUACGUCUUCUAGGAGUGAAGGUUCAAUUUAAGAAGUGUAUCACCUAGCAAAUGAAAACUAAAAUCCCUGGACAGGAAAGUGUGUCUCCUAGGGAUAUAGAAUGAUGAAUUUUUACUGUGAUUUAAUUAUCAAACCUGUGUAGCAACAUUGCUUUCUGCAUUUGUAAAAGCGAGAAAUUAGGGGCCUUGAUGUUUAGUCUUUGAAAUCCUUGAUUUGAAGGUCACAUGUGUUUCUGUUUCAUGCAAAGAAAAGUUGUGAGUUUAAAAACAUGGAGGCAGGUUUGUGGCUUUGGCUUUCAUGGCAAACGCUCUUGCCGUCAUCACAUUUAACCUUGCUUCCAACCAUUACAUAUAUCAUUGACUUGAUACAUCAUUGGCCCAAACUCAGAUUAUUAAGAGUGACUUUGAAACAAAUACAGUAUCUUUGCUUUGCCAUACUCCUCAAAUAAACCCUUUGAACUUUGGUAUUUUCAUGAGGUCCCAGACUUAUCUGUUGACAGAACUUUCUGUAUGCCUUAUUUCAGCUCACAAUCAUAUCUCUUUCAUGUGUUAGCCUUUUGUAUCAUUUUUUGCAAUUGAAGAAGCUGGUAGCCAGUUUUGAAAUCUUUUCUAACUUGUUUUGACACGGACUUGACUCAAAUAAAAGAAACAAAAAAAAGAAUGACAAUUUUUGUUUGGAUAACUGACUCAAGAAAUAUAAAAUAAAAAUAAAGAGAAGAAAGAAAAGACAAUGAAUGUCCCCUUUUGAAACAAAGAAAUGAAAAAUUCAUCUAAAAAUGACAGUCAACUCUAAUGAUUAUGUCAUGCAUUUUGGAUUAAGCUGUCUGAUCUUUCUAUCCAAACUUCUACCAAUUGUGGUUGAGUUAAUGGCCUUGAAGCUGAGUUGCUUCCUUAGAUCAAUUGCAUUUAAGAUCCCAUUCAGCUAGUGGUGCCUUAAAGGGUUUUCGCCAACAAGCUUCUCUCAUUUUCUUUUCCUCAGCUCACCAUUGCCUUAUGGUGUCUGUAAGGGUUUUCCACUAAUGAGACUCUCUUAUCUUCAUUUUCCUUAACUCACAGUCAUCUUAUGGUGCCCGUGAGAAUUUUCACUGAUAAGACUCUCUUAUUUUUAUCUCUCUCAACUUACCAUUGUCUUACGGUGUUUGUGAGGGUUUUCACCAAUAAAACUCUCAUUUUUAUUUCUCUCCUGAUUUCUUAUGUUGAGGAAGACAAGUAGUUCUUAAAUGCAUCAUCAUAUCUCUUGCAUGCUUAGCCUUAACAUCCUCAAAAAUUGAUCUAAAGGUCUUUCUUUGGUUGUAAAUUGGUUUUUGCAUAGGGUUAGAAAGAAAUGAUGACAUAGGGCCCAAAUGACACUUGAAGUGGGGUAGGACUUACAACUUUUGGAAUCAACUCAAACAAUGAGGAUUAACUCAUGCCCCAGUUUCUUUUGACUGGGUGACUCUAAAUUGUUUAUUUGGUUGGACCGAGUCCGGAGUAGGGCAUCCUACGUAUCUCACCCUGAGAGAGGAGAAUCAGGUUAUGCGUAGUUCUGACAGCUUGUUCUUUUGUUUGAUUCUGAUUUUUUUUUCUUUUGUUGACUCUUUUUCUCUUUGGGACUUUUCUNNNNNNNNNNNNNNNNNNNNNNNNNNNNNNNNNNNNNNNNNNNNNNNNNNNNNNNNNNNUGGUUUGCUUUACACCUUUUCUUUUAAGCUUUGUUGACUCUUUAUUGAUUUCAAAAGAGGUGUAUGAAAGAAAAUAAAACCAAGGCUCAAAUGGGAUAAACAAAGGAUGACACAAUGUUUGGAUAACAGAAUGAAAUGCCUUCGUCAUAUCAAUCUUUGAAAAUGCAAGUACAUAACAUGCAAUUUGAAAGUUGGAGAUGAAGAUCAUGUGCGACAUCUUUUACAAUAUUAACUUUGAUUGAGUCUGUGCGUCACUACUUCUUCUACAUUUUUCUAGCAUACAACUCCACUUUUGUUGUACAUUUCUUACGUUGAAUGACUCAUGAUUUCAUAGAGCUGAUUUUCUUUUUGUUCCUCUUGAUAUAGGAUCACACAUCCACUGUUUGACCUAAUUGAGGCAUGCCUUACAAUUGAUGACCAAGUUAUUCUGGUGAUUCUUAAAACAGUUGCCUUAAUUUUGAAAGAAGGUUUCAACAUGGUCACCAAAUGUCUUAACACGCUACCUAUUUCUCACAUGUUUUUUNNNNNNNNNNNNNNNNNNNNNNNNAAUUGGAUUUUAAGAUCUAGCGAAGAAUUCCGCCAGCAUGUCAUAUCACUAAAGCCAACAUAAAAUGUACUAUGUAAAGAAAACAAACAAAUAACAUAUAUUUAAACACAAAGAAAAAAGGGACACUCUAUUUAGUUGAAAGAAAAGAUAGAAAAGGCUUGACCAUUAACGACAAAAGGGACAAAAACAAAAUAGAUCCUGAACUACAACCCUGAAAUAAUUCGGAUAACAAAAAAUAAAACAAAACAAACUACCAGACCCCUUCCUAGGAGGGAGGGGUGAUUUCUAAAUUGCUCAGCCUGACAUCUUAGCCAUUGGUUUGCAUAUCAGCAUGACUAGAGCUUUCCUCACUGUCAAUGUUCUGCACCAUAAUUAAUUUAUCUUGAAUCAUCUUUUCAAUUUCUCUUUUCAAAGCAUGACAAUCUUCAAUAUUGUGACCCUGAACAUCAUAAUGAUAUGCACAUCGUACAUUAGGAUCAAAACUUCUUAAAUAUGGGUUAGGAGUAUACCCAAGGAGAAGAGUGAUCAUGCCAUGCUGUACCAAUCUCUGGAAUAAACUGGCAUAGAAUUCCCCAAUAGGAGUGAAAUUAUCUUUUUUCUUCCUCCUCUUUGCGAACUCUGGCCUCAGAUGAAACUUGAAUUUAGAAGUUCCUUGGUAAAUUUGUGGGCGUCGUAGAUGAUGUUGAUGACAGGUGCAUGCCAUUGUGGAUAAGAAGAUGGAUGAACAUACAAUUGUGCAUUGUUCAAAGGAUAUUAAGGAAGAUGAAUGGGAUUUCUUGGAUUUUGGCCGGGAAAGAAACCUUGUUGCAAGUGGUUAUGUGGAUCUAAUAUGUAAGCUCGGGAUUGAGGCUGACAGUAUUGGUGGGUUGUACCUCUCAAUCUCUGCUUUGGCCCUAGCAUGACAAUAGGCGUGUUUUCUUUCUUCUUUCCUUCAGUUUCCCUCGGUUGAUUGCAACGUCGUCCCAAAUAUUUCACAGAAUCCUUCUGUCUAUCAGGCUCCCCAAAUUUUGAUGUCUCAAAGCUGGGAGGAAGGGUAAAACUUGAAGAAAUACCCUAGUUUUUAAAUGAAACAUCUUCAUAGCCCAUAAGUCUAGGAGAAUUUUUUAUAUCAUUUUUCACACUCUUAACUUUCCCAACUACUUUCUCUAGCUCUUCUAGCAUGCUAGGUUUCUUAGUAAGAAAUUUUAGUGGUCCACUUAAUUUAACGGUAGGCUCAAGAGUAUAAGAAUGAUCAUCAAGAGUAUUGAACGUGGAUUCACUAGUGGACUGGGGAAGCACAAUUGUUGGAUUGAUAGCCAAAGUAGAAGUCUUAGUAAAAGGUUGAGCAACAAAAGCAUAGACAGUAUGUGGUGCUGUGAAUGUGAUAGACUUAUACUGAGGAGCUAAAGAAAGAGUGAUGGAAGUAUUGAGGUGCAUUUGACGCGGAAUGGAUUCUGAGGCAUGUUGUGGUGCAUCAACAACAGUAGGAAGCUGAUUUUGUGAUUGUGAUGGAAGACUCAAGGUAUUUGUAGGGUCAAAAAUGGGGAACGGAGGUGGAGGCAGUCCACUGGCCCAAGCUCAGUACAUUUUCAUCAUUAGUUGUUUCAGUCUCAAAUUUUCUUCCUUUAAACUCUCAAUUUCCUGACUCUUUGUUUCAUCCAUGGUGUCACUCUCUAUAUCCUUGUUGGACACAACUAAACCUUCCUUGAAUUUGGCGUGAUAUGGAGGACCAGCCAGGAAGCCACAAACCAACCACCUUAAAUUAACUGAAGAAGAGGCAACAAAUAUGUUAGAGUUCAACAUUUUUUCAAAACCUUUUUUUUAAAAAAGAUCACCAAACCCAAGAAGGGCGCCUACGUAUCUCACUCCCGAUAGAGGAGAAUCAGGUGUGCGUAAUUCAUGAAGUCGUGCUAAAAUGGCCAAUUGAACUCUUUAUUUUCUUUCUUUUUUUUCGUUUUCUCGAAACUUUAAGAAGAAAAGAAAAUAACAAUUUGUCAAAAGAAUUGACGAAAAUAUUUUUUGAAUUUUUCAGCUUUAACAUCCCUAUACAAAGUGAAAUCUAUGAUUAUCAAAGAAAAUCUUUUUGCGUUUUCAGUUUUAAAUUUCAUAUGAAAAUGAAACUUGAACCUAUUAAAGAAAAAUCUUUUUGUAGUUUUCUUUUAGAGAUGUAUAUGAAACACCUACUCUAAGUGAAGAGUGAAGAAAAUCUUUUUGAUUUUAUUUAAAUACGAUCCCCGAACCAACAAUAGGCUGCCUACGUAUCUCACAUCCCGAAAGAGGAGAAUCAGGGGUGCGUAGUUUGUCCAGAUUAAACAUUUAAGGAUUAAAUAACCGACUGAACCCUGACUUGAGACACUACUACAACGAUGAAAUAACUAUGAAAGAAAAAUCUUUUUGGUAUUUUCGUUAUAAGAAACGUACAAAACUUUUACCAUCUUUUUGACAUUUUCUUUUAUAAAAAUCUCCUGUUGUUAAAAAAAAAAAUCUUUUUGAAGUUUUUAAGUUAUGAAUGCUUACUAAAAACACAAAAGGAAAAUAUUUUUGAUGUUUUUGUUUUUGACAAAUGAGUACAAAAGGUAAACAAAAUCUUUUUUUGAAUUUUUGUAAUUUUGAAAAAAUAAAUGCAAAAGGUAAUUUUUAUUUUUUUUUGAAUCUUUUGGGUUGUGAAGAACAAAAAUCAUAAAGAACUCUAAAAAUAAACUACGAAAAUCUUUUUUUGAUUCACCUUUUUUUCUUUUCUUUUUUUCCAAAUUUUCAUUGCCUACACAUUUUACUUCUAACACCUGUUUUCCCCAAAUCAGUCCGUCAAAUGACCUCAUUACCCUUCAAAAAUGCAACAAUUAGCACGUAGGGAUGCUUUAUGGGUGAAUCUUCUACGAAAGAUCAAGUGGGUCUCGCUAGGUCUCAAUAUGAUGCAGAUAAGCAUGGCCUAAAGGUUGACCUACGCUGGAGUUCACUAACAAGGCUAUUCGGGGGAGCGUAUGAUCGAUAGUGGCUGCUUUAGCUUUCCACCCACUCCAUACCAGCCAACGGCUCCCCCUCCUAAGAUAAGGGUGACUCAACUAGAGGUCGUGUACACAGCGUGUACUACAGACUUGUUACAAAAAGAAUGACUCAGGUUAUGCACAUGAUGCCAAAUAUAAAGCGGUAGCACAUAAAGAAAAACUGUAAACAAAGAGCACGUAGGCACUAAAAAAAAACAAUAACACAAACGAUAACACAAACAACGUCUAUACACCUACAAUGCUAAACUAAGCCGUUAUAACUCCAAAAAAUAAGCUCAAAUUCUGAAAAUGUCCCCAGCAGAGUCGCCAAAGCUGUCACACCCCUUUUACAACCGAAAAGAUUCGUUUUAAGUUUCGAAAGGAUUUUAUUAUUAAUGUGACAAAAAGUAAAAAUUUAUUUCGAAAAGGAUUAUUUAUAUUCAAAAUUCAGAGUCGCCACUUGACAUAAAUCGGGUAUGCCAAGUCACCUUUGAAAAUUCUUUUCAAAACGGUUUGACUCUAAAACUGAUCCGCGAACAGAGAUUCCAGUUAAGAAAUUCUGUUGACCGAGGAAAACGAAUACAUUUUUAGUGCGAAUAAAUCAAACUAUUCAACGAAAUUUCAAACAUUCCACGGGAUUUCCAACAUUCAACCAAACAAACUUUAGUCCUAAAUUUGCCUACCCGAACCUACAUUGGCCUGCUCAUUUAGACGUAUCAUAAUAAUAUCACGUUUCAUAUCAACAAUCAAUCAAACGGGUUAAACUAAAUCUAAACAACGUUCAACUUUAUCAAUUUUUAAUUCCCACCUCUAUUUCAUGUUUAAUACAAUCUCAAACUCAU